rnacentral:rRNA from 1 species
GUCUAUGGCCGUGCCACCCCGAACCAGCCCAAUCCCAUCUGAUCUCAGAAGCUAAGCAGGGUCGGGCCUAGUUAGUACAUGGAUGGGAGACCACCGAGGAAGACCAGGUACUGAAGGCA